rnacentral:rRNA from 1 species
GACGAACGCUGGCGGCGUGCUUAACACAUGCAAGUCGAACGAAGAGCGAUGGAAGCUUGCUUCUAUCAAUCUUAGUGGCGAACGGGUGAGUAACGCGUAAUCAACCUGCCCUUCAGAGGGGGACAACAGUUGGAAACGACUGCUAAUACCGCAUACGAUCUAAUCUCGGCAUCGAGGAUAGAUGAAAGGUGGCCUCUACAUGUAAGCUAUCACUGAAGGAGGGGAUUGCGUCUGAUUAGCUAGUUGGAGGGGUAACGGCCCACCAAGGCGAUGAUCAGUAGCCGGUCUGAGAGGAUGAACGGCCACAUUAGGACUGAGACACGGCCCAGACUCCUACGGGAGGCAGCAGUGGGGAAUCUUCCGCAAUGGACGAAAGUCUGACGGAGCAACGCCGCGUGAGUGAUGACGGCCUUCGGGUUGUAAAGCUCUGUUAAUCGGGACGAAAGGCCUUCUUGCGAAUAGUGAGAAGGAUUGACGGUACCGGAAUAGAAAGCCACGGCUAACUACGUG